rnacentral:rRNA from 1 species
UACGUAGGGGGCUAGCGUUGUCCGGAAUCAUUGGGCGUAAAGCGCGCGUAGGCGGCCCGGUAAGUCCGCUGUGAAAGUCCAGGGCUCAACCCUGGAAAGCCGGUGGAUACUGCCGGGCUAGAGUCCGGAAGAGGCGAGUGGAAUUCCUGGUGUAGCGGUGGAAUGCGCAGAUAUCAGGAGGAACACCGAUGGCGAAGGCAGCUUGCUGGGACGGUACUGACGCUGAGGCGCGAAAGCGUGGGGAGCGAACAGG